GGAACCGCUGCAUUCAGGGCUUCCCUAACGAGCAUGUACUUGCUCUCGAUGACCUGUUGAAAGUCCCCUGGCUCAAAGGACACGGCUUCCUUGUCGACCUGCG
rnacentral:RNase_MRP_RNA from 11 species